GGCAAACCACAGAGGAACGCAGGGGAUGCUCAGUAGUGCAAGUUUUGCUGGCACAAGCUUCUCCUGUCUUCUACUCCCAUCUUACAUCUGACCAGCUCCUCACCUGUGUCAGGAGGACCCUACAUGGGAAGACUGAGCCCAGGACAUUUCACCCCUGAAGCAGGAGAGUAAUUCCACACUACAACCUCAACAGGUUCCUCAGCCACGCUGUGAGGCAGAGGAAGCAUCCCUUCUUCCUCUGAUCCCACAGGGACGAUGGCUGGUCCAGUAUGAGACUCUGAGAUAAUCUUCCUUAGAAUGGGAUGGUUGAUCUUCUUCCUAUGGUGUGAGAGCACCAGAAUUUCAUGUAUUGAAGGAAGAAAUCUGUGAUCUUACUUAGACUUGGGCUGUACCGUGGGAACAUGUUUAAACCACCAGCGAGGAAGGCAGACAGCACCCAACUGGAGUCCAGCUCCUUGGAUUCAUAGGAGGCUGGAUCUUAAAGCUCAACUCACAGGCAUUAAACAUUUAAACAGACCAGUCGAAGGCUGAAUUAUUAAAAUCACCCUACGUGAAAUGCUUCUCUGCAAGAAGAUGAGCACUCUCCUUCCCUGGUUCAUUGUCUCUGCGGGGUGUCAGAAAUACUGAGGCUCAUUCUGCCUUUCCCAUCCCCCUUGAGAUACUUGGAACAACUGAAGCACUCCCAGCUGCCAAGAAACACUGAAUAUUUAUGAAUCCCCUUAAUCACAGAGGCAGGGACCAUUCCAGCCAGCCUAGUUUGGCAUGCUUUUGGCCUUGCCUCCUAGAGGGGAUCAGAACUUGCUCUUAGAAGUUUUUUUCACCACCCUGGAGCUGAUCAACAGGCUGUCCAGUUCAGAUGGCAAAUCCUAGCAGUAGCUUCAAGGACAGAGAUACUUCAUACCUGCUCCUGCACCACCUUUUGGGGUCAGAACUGAGUAGUUCUGGUCCUUGGGAAUCAUGAGCCUGGAUCUGAGCAAGAUGGUUCAUUCCUGCAGUGGGUGAUCCACACUGUUGCAUGUAUUUUAUUGAAGAAGAAGCUGGGGUGGUCCCACUGAGUUUUGGCUUUGUGCAACACUCAGAGGGUGGUGAUUGCAGACCUCCAGCUGUAGCUAAGAGACGCUCCGCGGAAUACCCAGGUAACAGCAUGAAACUGUAACCUUGCAAUCAGCACAUCCUUAUAAUAAACGAGCCAAUGACCCUCUGAAUGUGAGCGCUUCUGGUGGGGCCAAUGGCAUUUGCUGGUUUUAUCAGUUCAUCCCAGAGUUGCUUAAGGCUGCCUUUAACUGCUGAUCUUGUGCGGUACAGCACACAAAUCACUAGCCCCUGUAAAACACAGCUACCGCGGGACGGAGCUCGAGGAGGUAUUUAGCAAUGCACAACAGAUUCAUGAAGCGGGCGGCCCAGAUGCUGGACUGCUGGAGAUUCAGUUGCAAAAUCUCUCCAGACUGGAGGUGGGCUAGUGGAGAGAGAAACCCUCCCACCUGGAGCUUACCUCUUACAUGGGGAGCCCACACAUCUAACCCACCAAAGCCCCACAGCUGAUGGAGCCCUCCUCUUGCAGCCACAUCAUUUCAUAAGGUGCUUUUAUUCCUCUGCAUUCAUCCGUCUUGUUUAUUCCUGCCGUGGAUUGAUACAACAGGUCAUACAUUUGGAAGAGGCUGCCAAAGAUAAUAUACAUCCUGUCAUAGUAACAAGAUCAUCAGAAGGAAAACUGAAGAGAUAAUAAACCAGCAGGAAAGCUGAAGAGUGAGAAACAAAAGAGGAACAGAGAAGAAGUGACAAUGUUAUCUUUGUUUAAUGCUCCUCUGAGUCACCAUUAGUUAUUUAAGAUAUUCAUCUGCUAGCUCCCAGCCCUGUCAAAUUAAGAGAUCCAAGGGGUGGGGUUUUUGGUUUUUUUUUCAUUGCCAAACAAGUUGCUGUGGUCCGAAGGGAGAGGAGACUUCCAUGAAUGAUGGAUGCAUUUUAUUGCAGCUCACUUCAGAGGCUAGAAGGAAGCAGUUUGCCACCACACAGGGCUGCAUGGUAACACAUGGGCUUUCUUCUGGGUAUGAAUGUUCCUGUGGUGGUUGGUCCACAGAAGCCAUAAUGCGAGGAGAGUAAGGAUAAGGAGGACAUUAUGGAUAAGGAGGUCAGCAGCACCAGCCCAUUCCCACAGCUGGAAACCAGAUGCUAUAUGGACAAGGCAUGAGGCUGGGAGCAGCGCAGGACAACUGUGCUUUGGAGAGAGGUUCUCAAAUGGGGGAAAGUAUCUCCAAAUCAGUUGCUGCAGUUGUCCAAGGAGAAUGAGUGUAGGUUCAUUACAGGGCAACCACAGGCAUCCAGGAGAGAUGGUGCUGUGGGAACUGAGUGGGCAACCAAGAUGUUUUCAUAGCGUCAAACCCAACCCCUGGCCCCUCCAGACACCUGUACCAGGCGACACCUCUGAGUCAUCAUUUCUGCCAUCUCACUUCUCCUUCACUCCCAAAGACAGAUCCCCAAGUCAAGUGGAGAGACCCAGGAGCCAUCUGUCCUGCUGCCAGGCGAGGCUGCUGUGUACGGGACCACGUGUGCACCCACAUGUGCUUGUGUCUUUGGGGAAGCGCCUCUUCCCUCUGCCUUUUGCUCUUCUCAAUUAACCCAGGAUCCAAGAGAGUAGCAAGAACAUUAAUAUAACAUAUGGGCUCAAAAUAGUAAAGACAGCCUUUCCCCGAGGGCUUUGCAGAGAGAAAGGAGGCACCUGGCAGGGAGAAGUGGUGAAGAAGGAAGGAAAGAAAGGAAACGUGACUGGCUGCAGGCUGCCCAGCUUCCCUUGAUUCAUGUCUAGGGCAGGGGAGAGGGCAAAAAGGGUAAUAGGGGUAAAAUAUAUUAAAACAAAAUAGAGGUAAAAAGGGGAUGGAGAGCACAGGCUGGAUGACUUGCCCCCUUGCAGUGGGGCAGCUCUGCAGAGCAUGUUGGCCAGGGCCUGGAGCAGUAUCUCCCUCCCAAGUUCCCCCAGGAAACCAGAGGCCUGCAAACUGUCGAGGCGUGGGAUUAAAUAAAUUAAUGAUCUGAGGAAGGUGGAUAGGAAUUGUUGUCUUGCUGGUAAAAAAAAAAGACAACAAACCACAAGAUCUAAGGAUUUAUGGCAGGGGUCAAAGGCUCACAGUCCCUUCUGGAUCCAGGCUGAAAUCUCCAUGGGGUCCCUCAUCCCUGAGUGGGUGCACAUUUAUUGCCAGCAGGAAGGAGCAGGACAAAAAUUAUCGCAACCAAAUAAUUAGCAGCACAGCAGCCAGAAGGGCUGCAUAGACAGAUAAUGUUGCAAAACUGUUAAACAGCAGAUUUUAGCAUUGUCAGGGGUUUUCUACUGAAUCUGAAAAGAGCAAGGGAAGAUCUGAGGCAUCGGAUGGGGGAACUCUCCAUAUAGCUUAGUUGUCAGUGACUGAUUCAGACCCCGUGUAACUCCUUUUGCACACUACGCCUGCUAUAUAAUCUGCUGUAUGAAACCAUUUUGGCAUAAACCAAUUCCAGCAGAAGCUUGCCUACCCUCUUCUUCAAAACCUCUGAUAAUGGAGGCUAAAACCCAUCCUGGUCCGCACAGCAGCCUGCGCCAGCAUUGCUCUGAGCAGGUUUUCUUGUGCUAACUUGUGCAAAUCCCCAUGGACCCCAAGCACAAGACAUGCCACCAAGUAACAGAGCCACCAAGUGGCACCUCUUUCCAGGGUGGAAGAAGAGAUGGGAGAACUGAGCUGUCCCUCCUAUGGAGAGGGUUUUAUUGAUGAUGGGAGAGACCCUGUGACUUGUCCCUGGUGUGGGCUCGGUGCGGUGCCAGGCAGCUGUCCUUGCCCACUUGGUUGAUGGGGUUAACGGGGUCUGCCUGCAUGGAUGCUGAUAUGCACCAUGGCACCUGCACGCUGGAGCUGGCCCCAGCACCCCCAGCCCAUUUCACACAUGCUAUCAAACAUCUGCUCGGCCGUAAUGACUCUCCGUCACUGCCGACCAGGGCCGUAUUCGAGGCGGUGACCUCGGGCUGGAAAGCACCGGAGCCCAUCGCCAAUCUGCCGGACCAGCUGUCGGCCACGUUAGCAAGCCGCCAUGGGCAGAGCAGGGCUGGCCAAAGCCUUCCUCCCACCGCACACGAGGCUCAAACCGAGGGCUGGCGCGCCGGGAGCAACGCGGGCUCUUGCGGCUGCAAACACCAUCAAUACGAGCUGACAGCUGCCAGGAGGGGCUUCGGGAAAGGUAUUAGAGACCUCAGUGCUCUGGCCUGGCAAAGCCCCAGCCUCCUGUACGGUGAAAAGAACCAAACAAAUAUUGUGAUGUCCUCUGCUUUUAUUUUAUGUGGUUAUUUUAUUUUGUGUGUUUAUUUUCAAGGGGAUUACCAAUAAAUUUAAUUUCAAUACGGUUAAUCCCCAUAUAUAUUUACUGAGGACAAUUAGCUGGCAUUUAUAUUAAAUAUACACAAUAGAGAGUUGAAUAUACAGUUUAUAUAGUAUAAUUAGAUAUAUAUACACAUAUAAAUAGAUGCAUAACUCUGUCUGCAGUGUGAAUUGGUGAGGAAGGACCAGGGUAAUGUGCCGUGACAAUAUUUAUCUCAUGCCAUAUUUAUACCCUGAUAGCUGGAGAAGUACAGCGGGGCUCUACAGGAGCGGUUCUGGGAGGAGCCGCAAGCAGAGCGGGUGCUGUGAGGGAGACAGACAGAUGGGUGCAGUGCCAGGGUGAUUCCAAAGGAAACAAAAGGGGGUUUGGGACCUGGGGAGGAAGCAGCAAGGGAAGACUUGAGCAGAGUAGAGGACCCAGACCUGAGGGAAGGUGCUGCUAACCCAGGGCAGAGACUCAGGAGCUGUCCCAGAACAAAGGGCACACAGGUGGUUUGGGGGCUUUUCUCCACUUUGCUUACAGUAUUUCUGUGCAUUUUGCUGUAGUGGGUAUAUUCUAAAAGUCCUGCGUGUGAGCAGUGUAGCUGACACAAUGUGGAAGAAACCUCCUGUUGCUAGGCUGGUGCCAGGGCAUUGCUUUACCACAGCAUCAACCCCAUACAGUGAGCAAGAGAAGCCAGUUCCCUUCGGCACCAGGACAGGGCUGCCCAAGCCCCCGUCUGGGUCCAGGUGUGGGAGCAGAUGUUGGAGGGAAAGUCGAUCUCUGAAACGUGAAGGCUGCCAGUCUUCCUUGGCUUUUUCUCCAAUAUUUGUUCCUGGGGUGAAACUCUUCCUCGUUCCAGCUGGAGUCUCCCUGGUUGGGAGACAGUGGUGGGGAACUGGCUGGAUGCUUUCCCAUUCCAGCCUGGCAGCUGCGCUCUGCUUGGAGGAUCCACCAGCCUUCCCAGAGCAGAGAGGGUGAGGGAGACCUGGCAGGCCAUGGUCCUGCAGCACUUGGCUUCUCUGGAAGCACAGGACAGCAGCUGAGAAGGGCAGCUGGAUUAGGGGACUGGGGAGAUUUUCCUUUAUUUCCCACAUCUUAAGAAGUCCCAUGGGAGCUGAAGUCAGCCGUCAUCUCUAGACCUCAUGCCACCGGGAACAGAAAGGACUUUGGAGGUGGUUGGAGACACAGAUUUUUAUACCCAGGAAAGUCUGAUCCCUGUGGAAAAUUUUAUGCUCUUACCCUAGCAUCAGGACCAGGUACAAGUGUUUGACCAACGUGCCUCUUCCAAAAAAGCCAUCAGUUAUCUGGAUGUAGCAAAGCCUUGCACUUGCAAACUUGCAAAAGCACGUAAGAUUUGAUAAACAUGCAAAUUAGUAGUUUAUCACGAACAGUAAUAAAAACUAACACUGCCAUUUUCCCUGUUCAACCUAUCCAGCGGUCAUUCCCACUCCUGGUGGAACUGAACGUCGGAGCAACGGGAGCUGUUCAUGUGCAUGCCUUCAAUUCCGUCAUCCCAAACGGCUGUGAGAACAAACAGCCUCCCUCUUUCUGCAUCCAAAAGAUGUGGACCGUCCUCAGGCAGACCAUCCCAGAGCUCAGUGCAUGGCUGAGUCAGUCCCAAGUCUAAACCCUUGUUUGCUUUAAAAAAAAGUCAAUUUACUUCUUUGUACGCCUUCCACCUGUUUCUAUUUGGCUGCCACCAGCCUGUUUUUUAAUCACACACAGCUUUCACUCUGGAUUUCACAGGCAGUGUUAAAAUCCUGCCUGCAGCUAAAUGUGGUGUGAAGCUGUGCUGCCUUUGGAAGACUCUCAAAGUCCUCAAUGUCCCUUCUUAGCUAUGGGCUUCUCCAGCCUUGGCCCAAAAUCAAAGGACUGGCUGAACUCUGGGAGUAUGUUGCCUCUCGCCUCCCCUCAGCUCUGUCCUGCUCCUCCAGGGCAAAGUAAGCCAGACAACGGCGUAAUUAAACCUUCUCCUCACUUAAAGUACUGUUCAGGGAAUUUGAUUCCCAACCACUAUUUAUGGCUAUUGAUUUCUGCACUUCUUAUUACCGUGGUAAGUGACCUGUAACCAGAGCGGCAACUGGCGGGUUUAUCAAUCUCUUUCAGAUAAUUAGUAACACAGGAAGUUGGAGAAGGAAAUAAAUGGUACAGUUGAGAAAAGUUUGCUUACCACCCAAUGACGGCUACCAGAGACAGCAGAAGAGGCAAUAAAGACCUGGAGGAGCUGGCCUUGGAUGCUGCUUCUGGUGCUUGGUCAGGAGUUGGACAGUGGAGAGGACAAUACCUGUCCUGGACUCUUGUCCCAUCGGGGCCAGAUGCCAACUCCUGCCUUAGGUGGUGCACCCACCCUCUGAUGAAAAGCCCUGUGCAUGGGGGCGCAGCCCAGGGAUGGAAGGGUUAGAUGAGUGGAUCAUGCACCAGCAUCUGCAUGACCAUCAGUGGAGCCAAAAUGCAAUAAAGCCCUUUCAGACAGAUCCCCAUGCAUUAUUCCUUGGAGAUGAAACCAGUCCCAUCCCCCGUGGCCUGCCAAGGCAAGGGCUUCUUGAUAUGCUCAAAAUCAGAGCCAAAGGGUUAAUUAUCUUUUUGGCCUCUUUCCUAUUGAAAUGUUGCCUGCAAUUAACUCCUACCAGAGGAGCCAGACAAAUCAUGGCUCUUGUUCAGACCCCUGGAGGAUCGACCUGCAGAGCAGGACUGGGUGCAGGGAUUGCCUGGGAUCAGCUGAAGGGCUGCCGAUGAGUGAGUGCCCGGUGGUAGUUGCAUUGAUCUCACACUAUUUGUCGUUAGAUUGCUGUAAGCAAACUCGGCAAUCUGAAGAUAAUUAAAUGAACCAGUCCUGCCAGAAUAAACCCAGAGCUUUUAUUUGCAAGAUGGGAGCAGCAGGUUAUCUGCAGGUGUGUUUAAAGCCCUUGUGAUGCUCCUGCACUUUUCUGCACUGGGCAUUGCCCCUAAUCAUUAGAGCUGGGGACAAAGGGAUUUUAAGGGGGCAGAGGGUGGCUGGAAACUGGGAGUUAAAAAUGAGAAUUAAGCCCCCCCAGUCUCCUCAAGGCUGGGACAGGGCCUUACCCCCAAAUAAUCACUUUGCUGCUCCUAGCUGACCUUUUCCCCAUGCAAACAGCUUUUCAGUGGAAGGCUAAUUCAUUCUCACAGCUAAAAAUGAUCAUUGCAGUGAGAAAGUGUUCUGGGCGUGAAUCCUUUUUGCAGCAAAUAGCAGCAUUAACAGGUUCAUUUUCUCCCAGCAAUGCUAUCAAAAUCUCUUUAAGCUGUUUCCAGAGCAUACCACAGAUGCACUAAACCAAGCCUGCAAAAUGGGUGGGAGAUGUGAUUGUAGUCAGACCUCCCGCCUCAGCCUCCAAGACCCAACUCAACCCUUGCCAAGCAACAUCCAUGCCUGACGGCUCUAAGAGUCUGUGUUCCCUCCUGAGGUGCCCCAGGAGCAUGUCCUAGAGAUGGCUCCACUUCUAAGAAAAUGCACAGGAAAUUUCUGCUUUUUCACAGAUGGACAUGCAGAACUGCUGGAGAAUGGAGUCAUAUCUUCCUGCCCCAUCUGGCUUCAGUUUCUGGGAUUUCUGGACAUCAUUGUUUGUCUGCAUUCAGUUGCCACCUACUGCUAAUUUGUGUGACUUGUCCCACGUGCCCCCAGGCAGACCAGCCUUUGCCUGCUCUUUCUAAACCCUAUGCCCAACUGCGGUAUCUCCAAGCACUGGGUGGAGGCCAGGUGUAAGCCUUUAUCUCCUGCAGUUUUCCCAGAAACUGAAGGAAUAAGUAGUUAAAGCCCUGAAAUCAUCAGGUGGAUCAUUGCAAAAACUGGGAAAAGAAACAUGAGCUGUUGAUCCUCUGCUUUAUCCAUCAAGCAAAGCACGGCUCUCUGCCGCAGUUACAGGUACGGGUGCUGUAAUGCAGGCUUGCAGGUGUAGUGCUCCAGCUCAGGUACGUACCUAGGAGCCCUGUUAUAGACUUGAUUUGGGGCAAAUUCCAGCUGCUUGUUAGACAACUUUUCCAAAGGCGGCAUUUUCCCAGGGACUGGGUGACACUUGUGCAAUGCCAAGGUCUAACCCCAGCUCUUGAUGAUCACAGAAAGGUUUGGGUUGGAAGGGAUCUUUACAGGCCAUCCAGUCCAACCCCCCUGCAGCGAGCAGGGACAUCUUCAGCUAGAUCAGGCUGCUCAGAGCCCCAUCCAGCCUGGCCUUGAAUGUUUCCAGGGAUGGGGCAUCGUCCACCUCUCUGGGCAACCUGUGCCAGUGUUUCACCACCCUCAUUGUAAAAAAAAUUCUUUCUUAAUCUAGUCUGAAUCUACCCUCUUUUAGUUUAAAACCAUUACCCCUUGUAAUGGCAUAUUACAUUACAUUACAGGAUGGUAUAUUAGAGGUUUCUUGCGGCGCUGGAAGAAGCGUGGAGAUGCAGGUCUGAUGCAGUCAGGUUUUGAAGCAAGAGGGAAGGCAGGACUGAGCAGCAUUUCACUCAAAGCAGACGCAGCCACGAGGCUGUGGAUUCACAAAGCCCAGGGAUGUGCUGAAUGCAGCAGCUGGCUCUGAGCAAACGCUAUCCAAAGGUCAUCAGCGAUGCUCCCUUUGCAAAAAAGCCCACACACCUUCCCCAUGACAACCUGUUACAUGCUCCAAAGGAAAACAAAAUUGCUCUUUUUAUUAUUAUUUACAUUAAGACUGAAUUGCCUUUCGCAUUCGGCAAAGCUGCUGCUUCUGCCUUGUAAAUCCAAAUCAUGACUUUUUGGGGCGAUGUGAGUCAAUCCCUCUGAGGGCUGAACUGAUCAUUUUUAUUGACCCUGUGGUGCUCUGCCAGUGUAUGCUGCGGAGAGCCGGUUGAGUUUCCUUGGCAGUGCUGGGCAGGAAUGGGGAAAAUGGGAAAAUGGAAACGGGGAUAAUGGAAACACUGGGACCAGAUAACACUCCUCGUGCUCCAAUUCCCUAUCACAGUGAUGCAAACCUGGAGUAACAUGGCAGGGAAGCAGAAGCUGCAGUUUGGUGACCAUGGGGAAAAAGAGUAAAAGAAGGUGGAGAUCCCAUCUCUGGAAAGGGAUAACACUCAGAAGAUCUUCCAGGGAGCCCUGGAAAUGAUCAUGUUUUGCCAUGGCUAUGCUUUCCUUCAUCCAUCUCAUCCCUUCUACACUUCUUAGGACCUGGCUCCUUUGUCCUGCUUCCCUCUGAAAGGCAAAUAAAAUGUCCCCAGGCUGGUCUUGCUAAGCUCUCUGUUCACUUGAUAAACUGCUCAGCCUCUUUGCUUCCUCAGAAGCAGCUGAGAUAUCGGUGCCCAGCAAGGUCCCAGCAGGACUGCAUGCCAGCCCCAUGGCCAGAAAUGUGUGAGCCGCCAGCUGGGGCAGGCACACCAGGUUGAUCAAGGGCUGAACCCCUUCAUGUGUCCCUGUAAGGUCCUGAGAUCUGCAGGAACUGGAAGACAGCUGCAAAGCAUAGACUGGGAAGGAAAACGGGAUUUGGUUUUUCUCCCAUGUUGAAGUUGUUCCCUUUCAAGUUUUCUUUCAGCCCAUUAGGAGCCAUUUCAGAAGAAAAGCUGGAAAGAAUGGACUUGGAUCUGGCUGCCAGCAUGUCCAGGGUUCAGAAGUACUUGGACCACAGAUUGUGCCUUGGUCCCAUCUCUGCCCUUUACAAAUGUUCAUUAAAGGAGUUUCACAAGAAAACACAGCAUCGCUCUCCAGGAAACAGCAGCUAGAACAUUUUAUCUUUGACUUCCACAACUUCAACAAGUCCCUUGGGGAAGAGCACAAGCAAGUUUUAUUAAAAAUAAAAAACCCUCAUGGACAGGACUAACACUUUGUCUUCCGGAUUUAACAGGAGCUGCUGCAGAUAGCAAAGACACUUCAGAAAGACUCUCGGGGCAGAGAGGGACAUAAAUAAACAGUCCCAGUAACAGCUGGAGCGAACCAGCACAGUGAUGAAUGCGCAGGGGCCCUAAGGCCACAGCCAGGUUUGAUCCAUCUUGUGACCAAAAUGCUGGGAACGGCAAGAGUUCCUGGGGAAAACACAGCCUGACGUAGCACCACUGUGAAAACCAGUCCCGCAGAGCUGCGUUUUGGCCCUGGGAUGAAGAUAGAUCACUUGAUUUAACCUCAUUUCAUUCAGUUUUUGAAGCUGCCUUGGCAGAGGACACACGUGGCAAGCUACCAUGGGAAAAGUUGUCCCAGGGGUGACCCUACAGACCUGGCUGGCAGAGCACUUUAGAUGGGGCAGGAGAAAAGGGGUGCUUCUCCUUAGAGUACACCCAAGUGCAUUGGUUGACUUGCAGGCCAGAAAGGUGCAAACUCCAACUGAUGGUCACUCGUCAGCUGGGAAAUUUUAAGGGCUUUUGUGCACUUGAGAUUCUUUUGUGUGGAGUAAGAGUCAAACGCCUGCUACCUAUCACCUUUUCUUCAGUUAGAAAACCAAAUAAAACUGAAUCUGGACUGCGAUUUUUGAGAGGUUUGUCACAAACCAAUUAUGUCCAAGAUCUCAUCCCAUCUGUGCUUGAAAUCUGCCCAGGUAUGCCAGAGUUUGAGGGUUGAAAGGUGGCAAAUAGAGAAGGUGUGAUUUUACAGUCUCAUUUCCCCAGGGAAGCAGUCCAACAGGGGUCACUGGAAGAGGUCAAAUCUUAGGUGUGAUGGCCUAUGUUCAUAUUACUUCAUCAGAGGCCCAUUUCAAACAUUUCCAUAGAUGUUGCUGGCAGAAAAUGGGUCUUUUUUUAAAAACUGAACUAUGUUGGUUUUUUCCCACUUGAGAAAUGUUGACACUGUGUUAAAAAAAAACAACAAAACCACACAAAAAAAAACC